rnacentral:rRNA from 1 species
CCGACGGUGAGGGGCGAAGGCUGGGGGCGCAAACCGGAUUAGAUACCCGGGUAGUCCCAGCAGUAAACGAUGCCAGCUAUGUGUUGCUGGAACCAUGGGUUCCAGCAGUGCCGAAGGGAAGCCGUGAAGCUGGCCACCUGGGAAGUACGGUCGCAAGGCUGAAACUUAAAGGAAUUGGCGGGGGAGUACCACAACCGGUGGAGCCUGCGGUUUAAUUGGAUACAACGCCGGGAAUCUUACCGGAGGGGACAGCAGUAUGAAGGCCAGGCUAAAGAUCUUGCCAGAUCAGCUGAGAGGAGGUGCAUGGCCGUCGCCAGUUCGUACCGUGAGGCAUCCUGUUUAGUCAGGCAACGAUCGAGACCCGCAGUCUUAUUUGCCAGCAUGCCCUUUGGGGUGUAUGGGUACAAUAAGACGACCGCCAGCGCUAAGCUGGAGGAAGGAGCGGGCUACGGUAGGUCAGCAUGCCCCGAAUCCUCCGGGAUACACGCGGGCUACAAUGGUCAGGACAAAAGGUACCGACCUCGAAAGAGUGAGGUAAUCCACAAACCUGAUCUCAGUCCGGAUCGAAGGCUGCAACUCGCCUUCGUGAAGAUGGAAUCGGUAGUAAUCGUGACUCAAAAUGUCACGGUGAAUAUGUCCCUG